GGAUGUGAUCAUACCAGCACUAAAGCACCAGAUCCCAUCAGAACUCCAAAGUUAAGCGUGCUUGGGUGAGAGUAGUACUAGGAUGGGUGACCUCCUGGGAAGUCCACGUGUUGCAUUCC
rnacentral:rRNA from 1 species